rnacentral:rRNA from 1 species
UGGGGAAUAUUGGACAAUGGGCGAAAGCCUGAUCCAGCCAUGCCGCGUGUGUGAAGAAGGUCUUCGGAUUGUAAAGCACUUUAAGUUGGGAGGAAGGGCUGCAAGCUAAUACCUUGUAGUUUUGACGUUACCAACAGAAUAAGCACCGGCUAACUUCGUGCCAGCAGCCGCGGUAAUACGAAGGGUGCAAGCGUUAAUCGGAAUUACUGGGCGUAAAGCGCGCGUAGGUGGUUUGGUAAGAUGGAUGUGAAAUCCCCGGGCUCAACCUGGGAACUGCAUCCAUAACUGCCUGACUAGAGUACGGUAGAGGGUGGUGGAAUUUCCUGUGUAGCGGUGAAAUGCGUAGAUAUAGGAAGGAACACCAGUGGCGAAGGCGACCACCUGAACUGAUACUGACACUGAGGUGCGAAAGCGUGGGGAGCAAACA